CGGCCCAGCGCCCUGGACACGGACUGAGGGCACCAGAGGAGGGGAGCCUGGGCUGGAGGCCGCGCCGCUGCCCUCUGAGGCCUGGUUUCUAGAGUUGAGGGGGGCCAGGCCGCGCCUCCCCCCACAGGGACCCUUGCGCCAUCGGGUGGCCAAUAACCACGGAGCGGAUGCGAUCAGCGAGGGGCGGACGGGAGAUUCCUUGGAAUGAAACCAAUGGGAGAUGAGGGUUUGGAGGAGUCUCAUCGGAGCAGAUGGGCCAGCAGCAGCCAGAAAGCUUGUUGCCUUUGGCCGAGAGCACCGUCCUGGAUCUGAACGUCUUAUAGGAAACCGAGGCUUGGAAUUCUCCUACCCUGACCAUCUUAUUUCAAUUGCCAACCCCUACCCUGGCCAAGAUCUUCCCUGUAACUUAGAUGGUAAAGAAUCUGCCUGCAAUGCAGGAUACCUGGGUUCGAUCCCUGGGUCAGGAAGAUCCUCUGGAGAAGGGACUGACAGUCCACUCCAGUAUUCUUGCCUGGGGAAUCCCACGGAUAG